rnacentral:rRNA from 1 species
GAUGAACGCUGGCGGCGUGCCUAAUACAUGCAAGUCGAGCGAAUGGAUUAAGAGCUUGCUCUUAUGAAAUUAGCGGCGGACGGGUGAGUAACACGUGGGUAACCUGCCCAUAAGACUGGGAUAACUCCGGGAAACCGGGGCUAAUACCGGAUCACAUUUUGAACCGCAUGGUUCGAAAUUGAAAGGCGGCUUCGGCUGUCACUUAUGGAUGGACCCGCGUCGCAUUAGCUAGUUGGUGAGGUAACGGCUCACCAAGGCAACGAUGCGUAGCCGACCUGAGAGGGUGAUCGGCCACACUGGGACUGAGACACGGCCCAGACUCCUACGGGAGGCAGCAGUAGGGAAUCUUCCGCAAUGGACGAAAGUCUGACGGAGCAACGCCGCGUGAGUGAUGAAGGCUUUCGGGUCGUAAAACUCUGUUGUUAGGGAAGAACAAGUGCUAGUUGAAUAAGCUGGCACCUUGACGGUACCUAACCAGAAAGCCACGGCUAACUACGUGCCAGCAGCCGCUGUAA